UUUUAGUGUACUUUUUUGGACUGUUCUGGAUAGAUGCUUCUGAAGAAUUUUGAGCAGAACAGAUGAAAACAAGAACACUUGUCUUGUGGGUAAACUUACAUAACAGGAGCCCCUCUGAUGAUACCCAUGCAUCACUCCAUGGAAGGACUUCUCACUGCAAACACAUUGUUCAGAACUGACUGUCACUCUUGUGCAAAGAGCAAGAAAGUUCAGCACCUUUUGGUUAUGCCCUGCCAAGGAGCCCCUCUAAUGCUACCCAUGCAUCACUCCCUGGAAGGACUUCUCACUGCAAACAUAC
rnacentral:lncRNA from 1 species